rnacentral:tRNA from 1 species
GGGUGAUAAGCACAUAUGGUAUGUGCGGCUGCCUGUUAAGCAGAUGGUAGGAGGUUCGAGUCCUCCAUUGCCCGCCA